rnacentral:sRNA from 1 species
CUUCGGUCCACAACUGUGGGCAAACAUAAUGGACGUGGACAUCUAUCGCACCGGCGGUGACAAUCAUCUUUUCUCCAGCAAUGACUUCAGUGUUUGACCCGAUCACCAUACCCGCUGUGACAAGGUCCAUGAUAUCGGGGUUGCCUGCCUUACCUAUGCCAGCAAUCUUGCCAUACUUGACGCCGAUAUCAGCCUUGAAGAUACCGCUCCAGUCAAUGAUGAGCGCAUUGGUUAUGACAAGAUCAAGGACUUGGGAAUCAUGUCGAUUGGAUGCUUGGCCUUGACCAUCACGAAG